GAGAGACUUUGGUGAAACGCUUCUCAGCUUUGGGAACAGAAAACAGCUCAGAAUGAACUUCACCAUGGCUUGGUCCUAUCUUCUCCUCACAUUCCUUGUUCAGUGCACAGGAUCCUGGGCACAGUCUGUGCUGACUCAGCAGCCCUCACUCUCUGGGACUCCAGGACAGAAGGUCACCAUUUCCUGCACUGGGAGCAGCACAAAUAUUGGGGAUGGCUAUACUGUGCAGUGGUACCAGCAGCUCCCAGAAACGGCCCCCAAACUCGUCAUCUAUGGUAGUAGUAAUCGACCCUCAGGGGUUCCUGAUCGUUUCUCUGGCUCCAGAUCUGGAAACUCUGGUUCACUGACCAUCAAUGGGCUUCAGCCUGAGGACGAGGCUGACUAUUACUGUCAGUCUUAUGACAAAAGCCUUAAGGCUCCACAGUGCUCCAACCUCAUGGGGAAGUAAGACAAGAAUCCCUUUACCAUCUGUUGUGGUGGGCGGGUAACACCCCACAGCUUUGCUCAGACCUGCCCUGUGGCUUGUUCUGCUAUCUCUACUAUAGGCCCAGCUGAAUCUCAUCAUGCUUCUUUGAGAAGCCUCUUGUACUCUGUCCCCAGAGACAUUCAGGGUAGCAUGUUCCUAGGAAAAUGUAUCCAUAUAAACAUAAAUUUGUGUUCCUCUUUAGCUUGAGGAGCUGAA